rnacentral:ncRNA from 1 species
CACAGAUCUGGUCCCAAUCUUACUGUUAAUUCAUAGCAAAAUUACACAUGCAAGUAUCAGCACCCCAGUGAGAAUGCCCUCUAGUUCUUACACAUAGACCAAAAGGAGCGAGCAUCAAGCACACUAAACACUAUUAGUAGCUCACAACGCUUUGCUCAACCACACCCCCACGGGACACAGCAGUGAUAAAAAUUAAGCAAUAAGCGAAAGCUUGACUAAAUUAUGCUACUGCCUAGGGUUGGUAAAUAUCGUGCCAGCAACCGCGGUCAUACGAUUAACCCAAAUUAACAGUCCCCGGCGUAAAGCGUGUUUAAGAUUCUAUUGCACCUAUAAAGUUAAAUUUUUACUACGCUGUAAAAAGCCACAGUAAAAACAAAAAUACCCCACGAAAGUGACUUUAAUAAAUCUGAAUACACGACAGCUAGGACCCAAACUGGGAUUAGAUACCCCACUAUGCCUAGCCGUAAACCAAAACAAUUAAUAAACAAAAUUGUUCGCCAGAGUACUACUAGCAACAGCUUAAAACUCAAAGGACUUGGCGGUGCUUUAUAUCCUUCUAGAGGAGCCUGUUCUAUAAUCGAUAAACCCCGUUACACCUAACCACCCCUUGCUAAUACAGCCUAUAUACCGCCAUCUUCAGCAGACCCUAACAAGGAACCAAAGUGAGCAUAAUAAUUAACACAAAAACGUUAGGUCAAGGUGUAGCCUAUGAGGUGGGAAGAAAUGGGCUACAUUUUCUAAAAUUAGAACAUCCACGAAAACCUUAAUGAAAUAAUUAAGCAUAAGGUGGAUUUAGUAGUAAGCCAAGAAUAGAGAGCUUGACUGAACUAGGCCAUAAAGCACGCACACACCGCCCGUCACCCUCUUCAAUUACCCAAGCCCCUAAACAAAUUUAAUUAUUUACCCAGCAAGCAUAUGAGAAGAGACAAGUCGUAACAAGGUAAACAUACUGGAAAGUGUCUUUGGACAUCAAAGUGUAG